rnacentral:rRNA from 1 species
UUCUUUUAGAAUUUAUUAAAAGUAUCUUCUGCUCCAUGAUAAAUUAAAUAGCUGCAGUUUUCUGUACUAAGGUAGCAUAAUCAAUUGUUUAUUAAUUGUAAACUCGUAUGAAGGAAGGAAUAAUAUAUGAUUUUAUUAUCUUUAUGAUUUGAAUUUAAAAUUUAGGUAAAAAUUCCUAAAUUUAUUAUAGGGACAAGAAGACCCUAUAAAGCUUAAUAGAAACAAAAAAAUUUUUGAUGUAUACUAUUUUAUUGGGGCAAUAGAUUAUUUAUAAUAAAUAUAAUAAUAUAAUAAUAUAAAAAUAUUUAAUAGAUCCAUUUAUAAUGAUAUAAUGAACAAGUUACUUUAGGGAUAACAGGAUAAUUUUUAUUAAGAAGAACAAAUUUAUAAUAAAGAUUAUUACCUCGAUGUUGGAUUAAUUAAUUUAAAUAAUGAAGAAGUUAUUAAAAUUUGGCUGUUCGCCAAUUAAAAAAUUACA